rnacentral:rRNA from 1 species
CCUACGGGUGGCAGCAGUGAGGAAUAUUGGUCAAUGGGCGCGAGCCUGAACCAGCCAAGUCGCGUGAGGGAAGACGGUCCUAUGGAUUGUAAACCUCUUUUGUCGGGGAGCAAAAGACGCCACGCGUGGCGUUCCGAGAGUACCCGAAGAAAAAGCAUCGGCUAACUCCGUGCCAGCAGCCGCGGUAAUACGGAGGAUGCGAGCUUUAUCCGGAUUUAUUGGGUUUAAAGGGUGCGCAGGCGGAAGAUAAAGUCAGCGGGAAAAUUGAGAGGCUCAACCUCUUCGAGCCGUUGAAACUGGUUUUCUUGAGUGAGUGAGAGGUAUGCGGAAUGCGUGGUGUAGCGGUGAAAUGCAUAGAUAUCACGCAGAACUCCGAUUGCGAAGGCAGCAUACCGGCGCUCAACUGACGCUCAUGCACGAAAGUGUGGGUAUCGAACAGGAUUAGAUACCCCAGUAGUC